UGUCGUGAGAUGUUGGGUUAAGUCCCGCAACGAGCGCAACCCUUAUUGUUAGUUGCCAGCAUUAAGUUGGGCACUCUAGCAAGACUGCCGGUGACAAACCGGAGGAAGGUGGGGAUGACGUCAAAUCAUCAUGCCCCUUAUGACCUGGGCUACACACGUGCUACAAUGGACGGUACAACGAGUCGCAAGACCGCGAGGUUUAGCAAAUCUCUUAAAGCCGUUCUCAGUUCGGAUUGUAGGCUGCAACUCGCCUACAUGAAGUCGGAAUCGCUAGUAAUCGCGGAUCAGCAUGCCGCGGUGAAUACGUUCCCGGGCCUUGUACACACCGCCCGUCACACCAUGAGAGUUUGUAACACCCAAAGCCGGUGGGGUAACCUUUUGGAGCCAGCCGUCUAAGGUGGGACAGAUGAUUAGGGUGAAGUCGUAACAAGG
rnacentral:rRNA from 1 species